AGCGGCAGACGGGAGAGUAACACGUGGGAACGUACCCUUCAGUUCGGAACAACCCAGGGAAACUUGGACUAAUACCGGAUACGUCCGUAAGGAGAAAGAUUUAUCGCUGAAGGAUCGGCCCGCGUCUGAUUAGCUUGUUGGUGAGGUAACGGCUCACCAAGGCGACGAUCAGUAGCUGGUCUGAGAGGAUGAUCAGCCUCACUGGGACUGAGACACGACCCAG
rnacentral:rRNA from 1 species